rnacentral:misc_RNA from 1 species
GAUGAAGAACGCAGUGAAAUGCGAUAAGUAGUGUGAAUUGCAGAAUUCAGUGAAUCAUCGAAUCUUUGAACGCACAUUGCGCCCCCUGGUAUUCCGGGGGGCAUGCCUGUUCGAGCGUCAUUUCACCACUCAAGCCUCGCUUGGUAUUGGGCAACGCGGUCCGCCGCGUGCCUCAAAUCGUCCGGCUGGGUCUUCUGUCCCCUAAGCGUUGUGGAAACUAUUCGCUAAAGGGUGUUCGGGAGGCUACGCCGUAAAACAACCCCAUUUCUAAGGUUGACCUCGGAUCAGGUAGGGAUACCCGCUGAACUUAAGCAUAUCAAUAAGCGGAGGA